CCUACGGGUGGCAGCAGUGGGGAAUAUUGCACAAUGGGCGCAAGCCUGAUGCAGCCAUGCCGCGUGUGUGAAGAAGGCCUUCGGGUUGUAAAGCACUUUCAGCGGGGAGGAAGGCGGUGAGGUUAAUAACCUCAUCGAUUGACGUCACCCGCAGAAGAAGCACCGGCUAACUCCGUGCCAGCAGCCGCGGUAAUACGGAGGGUGCAAGCGUUAAUCGGAAUUACUGGGCGUAAAGCGCACGCAGGCGGUCUGUCAAGUCGGAUGUGAAAUCCCCGGGCUCAACCUGGGAACUGCAUUCGAAACUGGCAGGCUAGAGUCUUGUAGAGGGGGGUAGAAUUCCAGGUGUAGCGGUGAAAUGCGUAGAGAUCUGGAGGAAUACCGGUGGCGAAGGCAGCCCCCUGGACAAAGACUGACGCUCAGGUGCGAAAGCGUGGGGAGCAAACAGGAUUAGAUACCCCAGGAGUC
rnacentral:rRNA from 1 species